UUUUUAAUUGAAUCCAAAUAGGGGGUACUUUCUUAUUUACAUUGUAAACUUAAGUAAAUAGAGUAAUACAAAAAUAAAUUAAAGUAAAAUAAGAAUGAAAAGUAAAAAAAAUUUUAAAAAAAUUGAAUCAACAUUAAAAAUUGAAAAUAAAUUGAAUCAACAUUAAAAAUAAAUUAAAUGUUUAGAAUGCAAAACCAAAAACAAAAAAAGGCAAAUGGGAGGGCUUACUGGGCCGUGCCAUGAAAGGGCUUUGUCGGGCCAAGCCGAGGGAUGAUCAGAGGUUUCAAAACCUAAGCGCAACCCUACCCAACCAUAGAGCGGGCCUAACCAUCGGGCCAGGUUGGGCUUUAGGCCAUCGAGCGUAGAGCUACCAACUUCGCCUUGCGGGCCACGACCCAAAUGGUGACUCCUAAGUGGGUGUGUCCAAGUACAACUCAGGAAUGUGAUGUUGGAAUCCGAUGCUCAGAGGUAUAUCUCGAUGCUCAAUGGGAAGGCUG
rnacentral:lncRNA from 1 species